CACGUAGGGUGCAAGCGUUGUCCGGAAUUAUUGGGCGUAAAGAGCUCGUAGGCGGUGUGUCGCGUCGGCCGUGAAAACUUGCAGCUUAACUGUGGGCGUGCGGUCGAUACGGGCAUCACUGGAGUUCGGCAGGGGAGACUGGAAUUCCUGGUGUAGCGGUGAAAUGCGCAGAUAUCAGGAGGAACACCGGUGGCGAAGGCGGGUCUCUGGGCCGAUACUGACGCUGAGGAGCGAAAGCGUGGGGAGCAAACAGG
rnacentral:rRNA from 1 species